GAUGAACGCUGGCGGCGUGCCUAAUACAUGCAAGUCGAGCGAACAGACGAGGAGCUUGCUCCUCUGAUGUUAGCGGCGGACGGGUGAGUAACACGUGGAUAACCUACCUAUAAGACUGGGAUAACUUCGGGAAACCGGAGCUAAUACCGGAUAACAUGUUGAACCGCAUGGUUCAACAGUGAAAGACGGUCUUGCUGUCACUUAUAGAUGGAUCCGCGCCGCAUUAGCUAGUUGGUAAGGUAACGGCUUACCAAGGCAACGAUGCGUAGCCGACCUGAGAGGGUGAUCGGCCACACUGGAACUGAGACACGGUCCAGACUCCUACGGGAGGCAGCAGUAGGGAAUCUUACGCAAUGGGCGAAAGCCUGGCGGAGCAACGCCGCGUGAGUGAAGAAGGUCUUCGGAGCGUAAAACUCUGUUAUUAGGGAAGAACAAAUGUGUAAGUAACUAUGCACGUCUUGACGGUACCUAAUCAGAAAGCCACGGCUAACUACGUG
rnacentral:rRNA from 1 species